GGUUUUAUAGUUUAAUUUCAAAACAUUAAAUUGCAAAUUUAAAAAUAGGAAUAAUUUCUUAAAACUU
rnacentral:tRNA from 1 species